rnacentral:lncRNA from 1 species
GCCCAUUUUACCUACUGACCCACGGCCUUUGGAGCUGUUUAGUGUGAUAAUUUGUCCAAGUGGAUUAGGAUCAUUGAAGUCCGAAACUGGAGUGUGUGUGCUUUUAUAUAAAGAUCUAUGCAAGUGCGUAUUUGAUUUCACAUUGAUCAUAUAUUAUAUAAAUUUUAAAUAUUUUAUAAAAUUAAUAAAUUUAAAUUAUAUUUUUAAAUUAAUUUUUUUAAUAUAAUUUUAAAUUAUGAUAAAUAAUUUAUAAAUAGAGCUAAUCCAUAGUUCAUGGAGACUAGAAAUAUUAUAGCAUAAGUCUAUUUGAAUUAAUUACGAUAUUUAUGAUUACAUUAUGAUAUGUAUGUUUGGAUUUAAAUUUGAAAAAUUUUUUGUGCAUC